rnacentral:rRNA from 1 species
UACGUAGGGUGCAAGCGUUGUCCGGAAUUAUUGGGCGUAAAGAGCUCGUAGGCGGUCUGUCGCGUCUGCUGUGAAAACUCAGGCUUAACCCUGAGCUUGCAGUGGGUACGGGCAGACUAGAGUGCGGUAGGGGAGACUGGAAUUCCGUGGUGAUAGCGGUGAAAUGCGCAGAGUAUCGAAGGAGGAACACCGGUGGCGAAGGCGGGUCUCUGGGC